rnacentral:lncRNA from 1 species
GUAGCUAGAUUGGUCUGUGAAGGCACUCUAUGUGCAACGUGUGACGUUUUCGAUGCUCGAGCAAGGCACACUGAAAAGUAAGAAACAGACGACGAGAAGGUCGAGAUAUGUAUGUAUAUAUAUAUAUAUUUAUCAAUAACAUAUGAGGUAUUCUAAAAUAUCUCUUUUUAUAAAGGAAUAAUCCUAAAGCAAUUAAUAUAAUUCAU